UUUCGAAUCAUUCACAAUGGGGGCAACCCUGAUGGUGCGACGUCGCGUGAGGGAUGAAGGUCUUCGGAUUGUAAACCUCUGUCACAUGGGACUAAACGUAAGGUUUAUAGCCUUACCUGAAUUAACUAUGAGAGGAAGUAGUGGCUAACUCUGUGCCAGCAGCCGCGGUAAUACAGAGACUACGAGCGUUACUCGGAUUCACUGGGCGUAAAGGGAGCGCAGGCGGAAAUGUGUGUUAGGUGUGAAAGCCCGAGGCUUAACUUCGGAAUUGCGCCUAAAACUACAUAUCUAGAGACUUGGAGGGGUAAGCGGAAUUUCUGGAGUAGCGGUAAAAUGCGCAGAUAUCAGAAGGAACACCGACGGCGAAGGCAGCUUACUGGACAAGAUCUGACGCUCAGGCUCGAAAGUGUGGGUAGCAAAAG
rnacentral:rRNA from 1 species